CCAUGCAUGUCUAAGUACAUGCCGUACCAAGGCGAAACCGCGAAUGGCUCAUUAAAUCAGUUAUGAUUUCUUGGAUUGUACAUAACUACUUGGAUAACUGUGGCAAUUCUAGAGCUAAUACAUGCAGCAGAGCUCCGACCUUCGGGGACGAGCGCUUUUAUUAGACCAAGACCAAUGCGGGUCCUCGUGGCCCGCCUCUAGUGGUGACUCUGUAUAACUUUUGGCUGAUCGCACGGGCUCGUCCCGGCGACGUAUCUUUCAAGUUUCUGCCUUAUCAACUGUCGAUGGUAGGUUAAGCGCCCACCAUGGUCGCAACGGGUGACGGGGGAUCAGGGUUCGAUUCCGGAGAGGGAGCCUGAGAAACGGCUACCACAUCCAAGGAAGGCAGCAGGCGCGCAAAUUACCCACUCCCGGAACGGGGAGGUAGUGACGAAAAAUAACAAUACGGGACUCUCUUGAGACCCCGUAAUUGGAAUGAGUACACUCUAAAUCCUUUAACGAGGAUCAAUUGGAGGGCCAGUCAGGUGCCAGCAGCGGCGGUAAAACCUGCUCCAAUAGCUUAUAUUAACGUUGUUGCGGUUAAAAAGCUCGUAGUUGGAUCUCAGUUCCGGUCGGGCGGUCCGCCUCCCGGCGGUCACUGCCCGUUCCGCAACAGCCGGCCGGUUUCCCUCGAUGAUCUUCGCCGGUUGUCUUGGGUGACCGGCGAGUUUACUUUGAAAAAAUUAGGGUGCUCAAAGCAGGCGUUUGCGCCUAGAUAAUUGUGCAUGGAAUAAUGGAAUAGGACCUCGGUUCUAUUUUGUUGGUUUUCGGAGCCCGAGGUAAUGAUUAAAAGGGACAGACGGGGGCAUCCGUACUGCGACGCUAGAGGUGAAAUUCUUGGACCGUCGCAAGACGAACUACUGCGAAGGCAUUUGCCAAGAAUGUUUCCAUUAAUCAAGAACGAAAGUUAGAUGAUCGAAGGCGAUCAGAUACCGCCCUAGUUCUAACAGUAAACGAUGCCAGCCAGCGAUCCGGCUGUGUUUCUCAAACGACACGCCGGGCAGCUUCCGGGAAACCAAAGCCUUUGGGUUCCGGGGGGAGUAUGGUUGCAAAGUUCAAACUUAAAGGAAUUGACGGAGGGGCACUACAAGGAAUGGGUCAUGCGGCUCAAUUUGACUCAACGCGGGGAAACUUUCCCGGACCCGAUUUAGGAAGGAUUGACAGAUUGAGAGCUCUUUCUUGAUUCUAAAGGAGGUGGUGCAUGGCCGCUCUUCGUUCGUAGAGCAAUUCGUCUGGUUGAUUCCGAUAACGAGCGAGACCCUAGCCUGCUAAAUAGACGUUCUGAUCCUCUCGUGGUCGGACGGUUCUUCUUAGAGGGAUAGGCGGCACUUAGCCGCAUGAGACGGAGCGAUAGCAGGUCUGUACGCCCUUAGAUGCCCGGGGCCGCACGCGCGACACAAUGAAGGAAUCAGCGUGUGAUCUCCUUGUCCGAAAGGACUGGGUAACCCGAUGAACCUCCUUCAUGCUUGGGAUUGGCCGAUUCAACUGAGGCCAUGAACGAGGAAUUCCUAGUAAGCGCUGUUCAUCAGACAGCAGUUGAUUACGUUCCUGCCCCUUGUGCACACCGCCCGUCGCUGGUAGCGAUCGAAAAGUGCAGUGAGGUCUUUGGACUGGCUUUCUGGAUGGUUUCGGCCGUCCGGUCUUGUUGGAAAGUUGACCGAACUCUA
rnacentral:rRNA from 1 species